GACGAACGCUGGCGGCGUGCUUAACACAUGCAAGUCGAACGGAAAGGCCCCUUCGGGGGUCCUCGAGUGGCGCACGGGUGAGUAACACGUGAGUAACCUGCCCUUGACUUCGGGAUAACUUCAGGAAACUGGGGCUAAUACCGGAUAGGAAUCCUUGCUGCAUGGUGGGGGUUGGAAAGCUUCGGCGGUUUUGGAUGGACUCGCGGCUUAUCAGCUUGUUGGUGGGGUAGUGGCUUACCAAGGCUUUGACGGGUAGCCGGCCUGAGAGGGCGACCGGCCACAUUGGGACUGAGAUACGGCCCAGACUCCUACGGGAGGCAGCAGUGGGGAAUAUUGCACAAUGGGCGGAAGCCUGAUGCAGCAACGCCGCGUGCGGGAUGACGGCCUUCGGGUUGUAAACCGCUUUCAGCAGGGGCGAAGCUUGUGGUGACGGUACCUGCAGAAGAAGCACCGGCUAACUACGUG
rnacentral:rRNA from 1 species